rnacentral:rRNA from 1 species
CUGUCAGAUUGAACGCUGGCGGCAUGCCUUACACAUGCAAGUCGAACGGCAGCACGGGGGCAACCCUGGUGGCGAGUGGCGAACGGGUGAGUAAUACAUCGGAACGUGUCCUGUAGUGGGGGAUAGCCCGGCGAAAGCCGGAUUAAUACCGCAUACGCUCUACGGAGGAAAGGGGGGGAUCUUAGGACCUCUCGCUACAGGGGCGGCCGAUGGCAGAUUAGCUAGUUGGUGGGGUAAAGGCCUACCAAGGCGACGAUCUGUAGCUGGUCUGAGAGGACGACCAGCCACACUGGGACUGAGACACGGCCCAGACUCCUACGGGAGGCAGCAGUGGGGAAUUUUGGACAAUGGGCGCAAGCCUGAUCCAGCAAUGCCGCGUGUGUGAAGAAGGCCUUCGGGUUGUAAAGCACUUUUGUCCGGAAAGAAAACACGCCUGUUAAUACCGGGUGUGGAUGACGGUACCGGAAGAAUAAGCACCGGCUAACUACGUGCCAGCAGCCGCGGUAAUACGUAGGGUGCAAGCGUUAAUCGGAAUUACUGGGCGUAAAGCGUGCGCAGGCGGUUCGCUAAGACAGAUGUGAAAUCCCCGGGCUUAACCUGGGAACUGCAUUUGUGACUGGCGGGCUAGAGUAUGGCAGAGGGGGGUAGAAUUCCACGUGUAGCAGUGAAAUGCGUAGAGAUGUGGAGGAAUACCGAUGGCGAAGGCAGCCCCCUGGGCCAAUACUGACGCUCAUGCACGAAAGCGUGGGGAGCAAACAGGAUUAGAUACCCUGGUAGUCCACGCCCUAAACGAUGUCAACUAGUUGUCGGGUCUUCAUUGACUUGGUAACGUAGCUAACGCGUGAAGUGACCGCCU